rnacentral:rRNA from 1 species
CCUACGGGCGGCAGCAGUGAGGAAUAUUGGUCAAUGGGCGGAAGCCUGAACCAGCCAAGUAGCGUGCAGGAUGACGGCCCUACGGGUUGUAAACUGCUUUUAUACGGGAAUAACGCGCCUUACGUGUAGGGCUUUGCAUGUACCGUAUGAAAAAGCAUCGGCUAACUCCGUGCCAGCAGCCGCGGUAAUACGGAGGAUGCGAGCGUUAUCCGGAUUUAUUGGGUUAAAAGGGUGCGCAGGCGGGCUGUUAAGCCGGCGGUAAAAAUUCAGGGCUCAACCCUGUCGAGCCGUCGGAACUGGCAGCCUUGAGUGGGCGAGAAGUAUGCGGAAUGCGUGGUGUAGCGGUGAAAUGCAUAGAUAUCACGCAGAACGCCGAUUGCGAAGGCAGCAUACCGGCGCCCGACUGACGCUGAGGCACGAAAGCGUGGGGAUCGAACAGGAUUAGAUACCCUUGUAGUC